rnacentral:rRNA from 1 species
AAUCAACGCUGGCGGCGUGCCUCAGACAUGCAAGUCGAACGAGAACCUCCCUUCGGGGAGGAGACAGUGGCGCACGGGUGAGUAACACGUGGGUAAUUUACCUUUGGGUGGGGAACAACAGCCGGAAACGGCUGCUAAUACCGCAUAAUGCAGCGGCUCGACAUCGAGACAGUUGUUAAAGCGGGGGAUCGCAAGACCUCGCGCCUGAAGAGAAGCCUGCGGCGGAUAGCUAGUUGGUAGGGUAAUGGCCUACCAAGGCGACGAUCUGUAACCGGCCUGAGAGGGCGGUCGGUCACACUGACACUGACAUACGGGUCAGACUCCUACGGGAGGCAGCAGUCGGGAAUUUUGGGCAAUGGGCGAAAGCCUGACCCAGCAACGCCGCGUGAAGGA